UGGAGGAAAGCAGGGGAUCGCAAGACCUUGCGCUUUUGGAGUGGCCGAUGCCUGAUUAGCUAGUUGGUGGGGUAAGAGCCUACCAAGGCGACGAUCAGUAGUUGGUCUGAGAGGACGACCAGCCACACUGGGACUGAGACACGGCCCAGACUCCUACGGGAGGCAGCAGUGGGGAAUUUUGGACAAUGGGCGAAAGCCUGAUCCAGCAAUGCCGCGUGAGUGAAGAAGGCCUUCGGGUUGUAAAGCUCUUUCAGUCGAGAAGAAAAGGUUGUGACUAAUAAUCACAACUCAUGACGGUAUCGACAGAAGAAGCACCGGCUGACUACGUGCCAGCAGCCGCGGUAAUACGUAGGGUGCGAGCGUUAAUCGGAAUUACUGGGCGUAAAGGGUGCGCAGGCGGCUUUGUAAGUCAGAUGUGA
rnacentral:rRNA from 1 species